GCAGACACAUUCCAGCCAAUCAGCAGCAGACCCUCCCUCCCAGACCCUCCCAUCUCCUGGACAGCAUCAAUUUUGAAUCUGCAUUCUUAGUGAGCUGUCCAGGAGGUGGGAGAGUCUGGGAGGGAGGGUCUGCUGCUGAUUGGCUGGAAUGUGUCUG